GAUGAACGCUGGCGGCGUGCUUAACACAUGCAAGUCGAACGAGAAGUGAAGACGGAAACCUUCGGGCGGAAGGCUUUAUUUCGAGUGGCGGACGGGUGAGUAACGCGUGGGUAACCUGCCUCAUACAGGGGGAUAACAGUUGGAAACGACUGUUAAUACCGCAUAAGACCACAGCACCGCAUGGUGCGGGGGUAAAAACGCCGGUGGUAUGAGAUGGACCCGCGUUCGAUUAGCCAGUUGGCGGGGUAACGGCCCACCAAAGCGACGAUCGAUAGCCGAUCUGAGAGGAUGACCGGCCACAUUGGGACUGAGACACGGCCCAAACUCCUACGGGAGGCAGCAGUGGGGAAUAGUGCACAAUGGGGGAAACCCUGAUGCAGCGACGCCGCGUGAGUGAAGAAGUAUUUCGGUAUGUAAAGCUCUAUCAGCAGGGAAGAAAAUGACGGUACCUGAGUAAGAAGCCCCGGCUAACUACGUG
rnacentral:rRNA from 1 species